rnacentral:rRNA from 1 species
AAUGGGGGAAACCCUGAUCCAGCAAUGCAGCGUGAGUGACGAAGGCCUUAGGGUUGUAAAACUCUUUCAUCGGUGAGGAUAAUGACAGUAGCCGAAGAAGAAGGACCGGCUAAUUCCGUGCCAGCAGCCGCGGUAAUACGGAAGGUCCUAGCGUUGUUCGGAAUUACUGGGCGUAAAGCGCAUGUAGGCGGAACAAAAAGUUAGAAGUGAAAUCCCUGGGCUCAACCUAGGAAUUGCUUUUAAAACUUUUGUUCUGGAAUUCAGGAGAGGAAAAUGGAAUUUCCAGUGUAGAGGUGAAAUUCGUAGAUAUUGGAAGGAACACCAGUGGCGAAGGCGAUUUUCUGGACUGAUAUUGACGCUGAGAUGCGAAGGCAUGGGUAGCAAACGGGAUUAGAUACCCCGGUAGUCCAUGCAGUAAACGAUGGGUGCUAGUCGUCGGACUUUUGUUCGGUGUCGUAGCUAACGCGUUAAGCACCCCGCCUGGGGAGUACGGUCGCAAGAUUAAAACUCAAAUAAAUUGACGGGGACCCGCACAAGCAGUGGAGCAUGUGGUUUAAUUCGACGCAACGCGAAGAACCUUACCAGCGUUUGACAUGGGAAGUGCCGGUUACAGAAUGGUAACCUUCAGUUCGGCUGGCUUCCGCACAGGUGCUGCAUGGCUGUCGUCAGCUCGUGUCGUGAGAUGUUGGGUUAAGUCCCGCAACGAGCGCAACCCUUAUCGUUAGUUACUAACAGUUCGGCUGAGGACUCUAGCGAAACUGCCGGUGAUAAGCCGGAGGAAGGUGGGGAUGACGUCAAGUCCUCAUGGCCCUUACACGCUGGGCUACACACGUGCUACAAUGGUAACU